rnacentral:rRNA from 11 species
UCUGACUAUCUAAACACUAUAAAGGCACUAGAUCCUGUCUGAUCUUGAAAGCUAAGCAGGGUUAACCCUGGUUAGUACUUAGAUGGGAAACUGCCAACAAAUAUCAUGCUGUACUUCAGAG